UGGGGAAUAUUGCGCAAUGGGCGAAAGCCUGACGCAGCGACGCCGCGUGGAGGAUGAAGGUCUUAGGAUUGUAAACUCCUGUCAGAUGGGAAGAAAGGUUUAUGUUUAAUAGACGUAAAAUAUGACGGUACCAUCAGAGGAAGCACCGGCUAACUUCGUGCCAGCAGCCGCGGUAAUACGAAGGGUGCAAACGUUAUUCGGAAUCACUGGGCGUAAAGGGUGCGUAGACGGUAUGUUAAGUUCGUUGUUAAAGGCUCCGGCCCAACCGGAGUAUUGCGAUGAAAACUGGCACACUAGAGGGUGAGAGAGAGAAGUGGAAUUCCCGGAGUAGCGGUAAAAUGCGUGGAUCUCGGGAGGAACACCAAUGGCGAAGGCAGCUUCUUGGCUCAUACCUGACGUUGAGGCACGAAAGCGUGGGGAGCAAACAGGAUUAGAUACCCCCGUAGUCC
rnacentral:rRNA from 1 species